UUUUGCAUAUCAAAAAGCGGAGGAAAAGAAACCAACAGGGAUUGCCUCAGUAACGGCGAGUGAAGCGGCAACAGCUCAAAUUUGAAAUCUGGCCUCUUCGGGGUCCGAGUUGUAAUUUGUAGAGGAUGUUUCGGGUACCGCCUCGGUCUAAAUUUCUUGGAACAGAAUGUCAGAGAGGGUGAGAAUCCCGUCUUGGACCGGCGGUAGGGCCCAUGUGAAACUCCUUCGACGAGUCGAGUUGUUUGGGAAUGCAGCUCAAAAUGGGUGGUAAAUUUCAUCUAAAGCUAAAUAUUGGCCAGAGACCGAUAGCGCACAAGUAGAGUGAUCGAAAGAUGAAAAGAACUUUGAAAAGAGAGUUAAACAGUAUGUGAAAUUGUUGAAAGGGAAGCGCUUGCAACCAGACUUGAGCGCGGCGGUUCCCCCUUCCUUCUGGUUGGGUUACUCCGCCGUGUCCAGGCCAACAUCGGUUCUGGGGGUCGGUUAAAGGCUUGGGGAAUGUAUCUACUCCUUCGGGGGUAGACUUAUAGCCCCAGGUGUCAUGCGACCUCCCGGGACCGAGGAACGCGCUUCGGCUCGGAUGUUGGCGUAAUGGUUGUCAGCGACCCGUCUUGAAACACGGACCA
rnacentral:rRNA from 1 species